rnacentral:rRNA from 1 species
AUACGGAGGGUGCGAGCGUUAAUCGGAAUUACUGGGCGUAAAGCGUACGUAGGCGGUUGGUUAAGUUAGAUGUGAAAGCCCCGGGCUUAACCUGGGAACUGCAUUUAAAACUGGCGAACUAGAGUUGAGUAGAGGGGAGUGGAAUUUCAGGUGUAGCGGUGAAAUGCGUAGAGAUCUGAAGGAACACCAGGGGCGAAGGCGACUCCCUGGACUCGAACUGACGCUGAGGUACGAAAGCGUGGGUAGCAAACGGGAUUAGAUACCCCAGUAGUCC